rnacentral:rRNA from 1 species
AGUGAACGCUGGCGGUAGGCCUAACACAUGCAAGUCGAACGGCAGCACAGUAAGAGCUUGCUCUUACGGGUGGCGAGUGGCGGACGGGUGAGGAAUACAUCGGAAUCUACUUUUUCGUGGGGGAUAACGUAGGGAAACUUACACUAAUACCGCAUACGACCUACGGGUGAAAGCAGGGGAUCUUCGGACCUUGCGCGAUUGAAUGAGCCGAUGUCGGAUUAGCUAGUUGGCGGGGUAAAGGCCCACCAAGGCGACGAUCCGUAGCUGGUCUGAGAGGAUGAUCAGCCACACUGGAACUGAGACACGGUCCAGACUCCUACGGGAGGCAGCAGUGGGGAAUAUUGGACAAUGGGCGCAAGCCUGAUCCAGCCAUACCGCGUGGGUGAAGAUGGCCUUCGGGUUGUAAAGCCCUUUUGUUGGGAAAGAAAAGCAGCAGGUUAAUACCCCGCUGUUCUGACGGUACCCAAAGAAUAAGCACCGGCUAACUUCGUG